rnacentral:rRNA from 1 species
UACGGAGGGUGCAAGCGUUGUUCGGAAUCAUUGGGCGUAAAGCGCGUGUAGGCGGCCGGGUAAGUCUGAUGUGAAAGCCCGGGGCUCAACCCCGGAAGUGCAUUGGAUACUGCCUGGCUAGAGGGCGAGAGAGGAAAGUGGAAUUCCUGGUGUAGGGGUGAAAUCCGUAGAUAUCAGGAGGAACAUCAGUGGCGAAGGCGACUUUCUGGCUCGUUACUGACGCUGAGGCACGAAAGCUAGGGGAGCGUAAGGG